CAGCAGCCGCGGGAAUACGUAGGUGGCAAGCGUUGUCCGGAAUUAUUGGGCGUAAAGGGCUCGCAGGCGGUUUCUUAAGCCUGAUGUGAAAGCCCCCGGCUCAACCGGGGAGGGUCAUUGGAAACUGGGAAACUUGAGUGCAGAAGAGGAGAGUGGAAUUCCACGUGUAGCGGUGAAAUGCGUAGAGAUGUGGAGGAACACCAGUGGCGAAGGCGACUCUCUGGUCUGUAACUGACGCUGAGGAGCGAAAGCGUGGGGAGCGAACAGGAUUAGAUACCCGUGUAGUCCCUGUCUCUUAUAC
rnacentral:rRNA from 1 species